CAGUAGCCGCGGGAAUACAGAGGGUGCAAGCGUUAAUCGGAUUUACUGGGCGUAAAGGGCGCGUAGGUGGUUAUGUAAGUGAGAUGUGAAAUCCCCGGGCUCAACUUGGGAACUGCAUCUUAUACUGCGUAGCUGGAGUGCAGUAGAGGGUAGUGGAAUUUCCGGUGUAGCGGUGAAAUGCGUAGAUAUCGGAAGGAACACCAGUGGCGAAGGCGGCUACCUGGACUGACACUGACACUGAGGCGCGAAAGCGUGGGGAGCAAACAGGAUUAGAUACCCGCGUAGUCCCUGUCUCUUAUAA
rnacentral:rRNA from 1 species